rnacentral:rRNA from 1 species
CUACGGGGUGCAGCAGCUAAGAAUCUUCCGCAAUGGGCGAAAGCCUGACGGAGCGACGCCGCGUGGGUGAAGAAGGCCGAGAGGUUGUAAAGCCCUUUUCUGUCUGAGGAAUGAGCCUGGGAGGGAAUGCCCGGGUGAUGACGGUAAGACAGGAAUAAGCCCCGGCUAAUUACGUGCCAGCAGCCGCGGUAACACGUAUGGGGCGAGCGUUGUUCGGAAUCAUUGGGCGUAAAGGGCGCGUAGGCGGAGAUGCAAGUCUGGUGUGAAAUACCGCAGCUUAACUGCGGGACCGCGCUGGAAACUGCAUAUCUUGAGUUCCGGAGGGGGAGUUGGAAUUCCUGGUGUAGGGGUGAAAUCUGUUGAUAUCAGGAAGAACACCGGUGGCGAAGGCGAACUCCUGGACGGAAACUGACGCUGAGGCGCGAAAGCGUGGGGAGCGAACAGGAUUAGAUACCCGCGUAGUC